CUGGCUAAUGGGUUGGAGCUCAGUUUGUCAACAAGGUCGACACUGCGGAGAUCAAUUCUUUGUCUUCUGGUAGCACCAUUCUACAAUCAUGUCAAGUUUGGGACUGGCGUGGGUUUUGCUGUCAAAUUUUUUG